rnacentral:rRNA from 1 species
ACGGGUUCCAAUCCGUCUGGAAGGGCGGAGGCACGGAGGGCGAUUCCCCGUACGUGCUCGGUCCGUCCCCCGACGAGCGAACGCAUCGGAGAGUCGGGCCGCUUGAGAGUGCAGCCCGAAUGGGGUGAUAGGUCUCAUCCAAGGCUAAGUACGUGGGAGACGCCGAUAGCGAACAAGUACGGCGACGGAAAGGUGAAAAGAACCUCGAAAGGGGGGUCAAAAGCGCUCGAAAUCGUAGAGGGGGAAGCGGACCUGACCGACGAGACCUCGUCGUCGCUCGCGCUCGACCCACGCUUCGUCGCGGAGUUCCGGAGGGCUCGCCCCCCGGAGCCGCGGCGCGGCGGGGGUCGGGAGGCGCUCGGCGGCGGGGCCGCUUGCGCGGGACCGGCGUCGCGCCGAACGAGAGGUCGCCUCGGCUCGCCCGAAAGGACGCGCCGGGGGGC